GGGUUUUGCUAUGAAGUUCAGACUGUCCUGGAACUCACUUUGUAGGCCAGGCUGGCCUUGAAGUUGCAGCAAUCCUUCUGCCUCAGCCUCCUGAGUGCUGGGAUUACAGGCAUGCACCAUCACACCCAGUUCAAUCCAUGUUUUUGAGAAGGAGGCAAGAGAGAAAUGACAGCUUCACAGAAGCAGGCUGGACCCUCUUGCAUGAACCGCACCAAAUUUCUCAUACCUUCUCAGAAAGAAUGCCAUGGGAUUACCGUGGGAAAAGAUAUUUGAAAUAUCAAGUCUCAGAACAGGAUAUUGGAGCCCGGAAAUCUUCAUUCAUCCCAAGGCGAAGUGAAUGACUGGGAGGAGCGCUGCUUGAGCAGAUAUGGUAGAGAAACCGGGAGAAAUUACAAGAGCAGUGAUGUAGACCUAGAGUGGUAGUGAAGACAGGAAGCUAUCUAGUCACUAUGCCUCCAGCCAGAAACUGAAGGAAUUCCACUGUGGUGGCCACAUCCUCGAUUUAUGAGGACGUCUUCUGCAAAUGGGAAGUGGAUCAAUGGAUAGAUGGGUGGCUGUGAAAAGAAUUAAAAUGUGCUAUGUUCAUGUACCGAUCCCCCAUGAUAAAUGCAGUCAUCAUCUGUUGCAGACAUGUACUAAUAAAGAGAAAAACUUUAAAAAUGCUA
rnacentral:lncRNA from 1 species